ACGAAGGGUGCAAGCGUUACUCGGAAUUACUGGGCGUAAAGCGUGCGUAGGUGGUUUGUUAAGUCUGAUGUGAAAGCCCUGGGCUCAACCUGGGAACGGCAUUGGAUACUGGCUUACUAGAGUGCGGUAGAGGGUAGUGGAAUUCCCGGUGUAGCGGUGGAAUGCGUAGAGAUCGGGAAGAACAACAGUGGCGAAGGCGGCCCCCUGGACCGGUACUGACGCUGAGGCGCGAAAGCGUGGGUAGCAAACGGGA
rnacentral:rRNA from 1 species